CCUACGGGAGGCUGCAGUGGGGAAUAUUGCACAAUGGGGGAAACCCUGAAGCAGCAACGCCGCGUGAGUGAGGAAGUAUUUCGGUAUGUAAAGCCCUAUCAGCAGGGAAUAGAAAAGAAGGUACCUGCAAAAGAAGCCCCGGCUAACUACGUGCAAGAAGCCGCGUUAAUCCGAAGGGGGCAAGCGUUAUCCGGAUUUACUGGGUGUAAAGGGAGCGUAGACGGAAAGGCAAGUCAGAAGUGAAAGCCCAAGGCUAAACCAUGGGACUGCUUUUGAAACUGUCAUACUAGAGUACGGGAGAGGUAAGAGGAAUUCUUGGUGUAGCGGUGAAAUGCGUAGAUAUGAGGAGGAACAC
rnacentral:rRNA from 1 species